rnacentral:rRNA from 1 species
AUUGAACGCUGGCGGCAGGCCUAACACAUGCAAGUCGAGCGGAUGAAGGGAGCUUGCUCCUGGAUUCAGCGGCGGACGGGUGAGUAAUGCCUAGGAAUCUGCCUGGUAGUGGGGGAUAACGUCCGGAAACGGGCGCUAAUACCGCAUACGUCCUGAGGGAGAAAGUGGGGGAUCUUCGGACCUCACGCUAUCAGAUGAGCCUAGGUCGGAUUAGCUAGUUGGUGGGGUAAAGGCCUACCAAGGCGACGAUCCGUAACUGGUCUGAGAGGAUGAUCAGUCACACGGGAACUGAGACACGGUCCAGACUCCUACGGGGGGCAGCAGUGGGGACUAUUGGACAAUGGGGGAAAGCCUGAUCCAGCCAUGCCGCGUGUGUGAAGAAGGUCUUCUGAUUGUAAAGCACUUUAAGUUGGGAGGAAGGGCAGUAAGUUAAUACCUUGCUGUUUUGACGUUACCAACAGAAUAAGCACCGGCUAACUUCGUG